CAGCGAUAGCCUCAGUAACGGCGAGUGAAGCGGCUACAGCUCAAAUUUGAAAUCUGGCCUCCUUUGGGGGUCCGAGUUGUAAUUUGCAGAGGAUGCUUUGGCAUUGGCGGCGGUCUAAGUUCCUUGGAACAGGACAUCGCAGAGGGUGAGAAUCCCGUACGUGGGCGCCUGCCUUUGCCGUGUAAAGCUCCUUCGACGAGUCGAGUUGUUUGGGAAUGCAGCUCUAAAUGGGAGGUAAAUUUCUCCUAAAGCUAAAUACCGGCCAGAGACCGAUAGCGCACAAGUAGAGUGAUCGAAAGAUGAAAAGUACUUUGGAAAGAGAGUCAAAUAGCACGUGAAAUUGUUGAAAGGGAAGCGCUUGCAGCCAGACUUGCCCGCAGUUGCUCACCUAGGCUUUCGCCUGGGGCACUCUUCUGCGGGCAGGCCAGCAUCAGUUUGGGCGGUCGGAUAAAGGCCUCUGUCAUGUACCACCCCUCGGGGUGGCCUUAUAGGGGAGGCGUAAUGCGACCAGCCCGGACUGAGGUCCGCGCAUCUGCUAGGAUGCUGGCGUAAUGGCUGUAAGCGGCCCGUCUUGAAACACGGACCAAGGAGUCUAACAUCUAUGCGAGUGUUUGGGUGUCAAGCCCGGGCGCGCAAUGAAAGUGAACGGAGGUGGGAACCCUUCGGGGUGCACCAUCGACCGAUCCUGAAGUCUUCGGAUGGAUUUGAGUAAGAGCAUAGCUGUUGGGACCCGAAAGAUGGUGAACUAUGCUUGAAUAGGGUGAAGCCAGAGGAAACUCUGGUGGAGGCUCGCAGCGGUUCUGACGUGCAAAUCGAUCGUCAAAUUUGGGCAUAGGGGCGAAAGACUAAUCGAACAUC
rnacentral:rRNA from 1 species